AUUGAACGCUGGCGGCAGGCCUCACACAUGCAAGUCGAGCGAGCGGCGGACGGGUGAGUAAUGUAUGGGAAACUGCCUGAUGGAGGGGGAUAACUACUGGAAACGGUAGCUAAUACCGCAUACCCUCAGAUGUGCACAGCUGGGCUGAGCUAGUAGGUGGGGUAACGGCUCACCUAGGCGACGAUCCCGAGCUGUUCUGAGAGGAUGACCAGUCACACUGUAACUGAGACACGGUACAGACUCCUACGGGAGGAAGCAGUGGGGAAUAUUGCACAAUUGGCGCAAUCCUGAUGCAGCCAUGCCGCGUGUGUGAAGAAGGCCUUCGGGUUGUAAAGCACUUUCAGCGGGGAGGCGUUACCCGCAGAAGAAGCACCGGCUAACUCCGUGCCAGCAGCCGCGGUAAUUC
rnacentral:rRNA from 1 species